AGUAGCAAAAUGUGUAUUGGAAACAAAGAAAAUUAACAGCACAAUUAUGAGUUUGACUUUAACAAAUUAGUAACACAUAAUGAUCAAACUAAACAUUUACCCGCUUUGAUAACAAAGUAGAAUAAAAUUGAACAGCUUAAACAUAAAAGAACAAGAGAGUAAGAGCAACACACAACAAUACCCCUAAGAUUUGAAUCAAAGUAAACAGAUCCAUCCAUAAACAAUAUAGAAAAUUAAAAUUUAUAACAGCAAAAUGAAACGAAUGAAAGAGUAGUAGAAGCACGCACUUUUCCGAUUAGGAUCUCGUUGGUGUGGGGACCGUACAUGUCGGAGGUAUCGAGAAAGGUGACGCCGGAGUUGAUGGCGUGGUGAAUGAGUUUGAUCAUAUCGGGCUCGGGCUUCGGCAGCCUGUAGAGGCUGAAUGCUAUGGUAGAGUCCUUGUUUGGACGCCUCCAGGUCGUGCGAUCGGAGCUUGACUCUCGUUAGGUUUACUCCAGUUUUCCUUAACUGUUUUUCAAAAAUUGGUAUUUGAUGAAUUCGAUGUUUCAAUUUUAGAUUAGUGGGCUGUUGAGUGUGUCACUUGGCAGUUGAGGAUUCAAUUGUGGUGAGUUUUUAAAGGCCAAACAGAGUACUGAAUCAUGGACGGAGGGAGUACAAUUUUGAUAUUUCAACCUUGAAGUUUUAAUUGUUAUAUCGCGUCAUUUUGUUGCUUUUAGCAACCCUUACCAUCAAAGGGUUUUUUCCAUCUUGCACCUAGGUGCAUCGUAUCUAGGUGCUGGAUGGGCGACACGUGGCUUCCCCUUAAAUUCCAUUUUCUUUUAUUUUUUUGAAUCAUUUAACUAAACCCAGGUUCUAAAAUGGGCCCCACUUGGCAGUUGAGGUUUGCUCAAUACAUUAUUUAUACUGUAUUUUGUUUUAAUUUUAAAUACAUCUGCGGGCCCCACUAUUGUAAAAGCUUCGAAGGGAAGCUUCUAUUCCUUAAAAAGAUCUGAAACAUCAUUCAAUUAUUUUUGAAUUUUACAUGUGGGUCCCAUUUUAGUUCGAAGCUUGCAAAAUUUUGUGUAAAAAAUUUUGCUUUGUCAUUUUUUUUGGUGGGAAGAAGUCCGUCACCGUCAAACUAAGAAGUCUGUCACCGUCAGCUUUGGCAUCCUUGCCGGAGACAUCUUCCCGGAGCAGCGGUUGUCGUUAAGCCCCCGACGGAGGUUUUUUGGGUUGGAAGGUCUAAUGGUACUAUGUUCAUCAUUUUGCAUCUAUGUUUUCCGUAGCUGUGGCUGGCGUUAACCCACCGGCGAAGCGAAGUUCCGGUAUGGCGGUAUAGCAGAAGCAAGUGAGAUUCUGAAAUAGCGAAAUUUUGGUAGACAUUUGUUCUUUUUAAUUUUGAAAAUCUUUAACUAUAUACUAUAUUGUAGAAAUGGUGUAUGCAUGUAGUUGUUGCUCUUAUGAAAUGUGGCAGGUAGUUAAAUGCAAUUAGGGUUUGUAGUUUUGUGUGUGGAUAUGUAAUGUGAGCCCUGAGUUCGUCAGUUUGGUGUGUAUGAAGGUUGUUCUUAUUGUUUUUUGGUUGAGUGCUUGGAUCUGCGAACAUUAUUUUUUUGGAGGAACAAAUACCCCAAAUGGGUUCUUCGAUGGCUUGUUUAUUUAAUAUGAGUUUUUUGAUUCCUGUAGUAUUGUUUUAUAAUGUUUUGUCAUAAAAUAAUUGUUUAAUUGUAGUCAUUUUUUCUUUGAUUAGUGAAAAUGGUGUUAGAUUUGAAUGUGCCGACUGGAAUAGAUGAAUUGGAAUAUUACAAUAAUAUUGUCAAUGAUGAUGCAAUAGACUGGGGCAUGAAUAAUGUACGUGCUGAGGAUUUUUCAGCAUAUGGGUUUGAAACGGAAGAAAAUGUGAAUGUAGAAGAUGUAGAUGUGAAUGAAGACGUUGUGAAUGAAGAAGAAGAGAAUGUUCAAGCUGUGGAAUCUGAGUUUCUCGUCGAUGGUGAAGAUGUGGCGAAUGAAGAUGUUAAUUUGUCAUCUAGAGAGUCAGAGGAAAAAUUAUCACCUGGGUGUUUAGUUGACGGGGUCGAUGAGGCUUUUUUGUUAUAUUGUGCCUAUGCCAAAAUGACUGGAUUCAGUGUAAGGAGAGGGAACGAAGAAAAAUUUAGGCGGAUAAAAUUAUUGCGUAUGAAGACAUUUGUAUGUAGUUGUCGGGGUUCGACACCUAGUAGUCACAUUGAUGGUCGUUUACCUGUAUAUAAGAAGCAAACAACUCGGUCCAACUGUCAAGCCCUUUUGAGGGUUGCUCGUGUUGAGGGAGGGUCGUGGAAGGUAACGACAUUCACUAAAGAACACAACCACGAGUUACUUGCCAAGGAUCAAGCCUAUUUGCUUCGUUCUAGUCGCACCUUUCGUAUGCUAAGAAGUCUAUGUUGGAGGCUUUGACUUCAGCCGGCAUACCAAUAAGCCGGGCUUGACGUUUCAUGGACAAUGAAUCUGGUGGCCUUGAAAAUGCCGGAUUUAUUCGUAAAGAUGUUACCAUCAUAUGGACAAUGUUAGAAGAAAGUCUAAGAUGACGAUGGAGAUUCAAGGCUCUCAUGCAGUACUUUGUUACAAGUCGAACAAAGAGCCUUUUUUCUACUGGAAUAUGCAAAAGGAUGAUGAUGGUCGACUUAUGAAUUUAUUCUACCGUGAUUCUCGUAGUGGCCUUGAUUACGAGUAUUUUGGAUGUGCUAUCCGUUGACACAACCUACAAGACGAACAAAUAUGAUCUUAUUUGUGCUCCCUUUGUAGGUAUGGAUCAUCACUUUGGAAAUAUUGAGAAUGCCCUUAAUAUUUUAUCUUUGAUUGCAUGAAGUGGUUAUAGUUCCUUAAUUAAUGCUAAAAUUGAUAAUGCCUUUUCACAUACAUUCGACCUCUAUUUUGUGCUUUACUGAGAAGCCCAAAACAUCAUGAUGAUAGACAUUCUUUAUAUUUUUUUUGACCUAAGGCUUAAUUAUUUGUGAGCUUUAUUUGACUUUUUCUUAUUUACACCUUUAACAUUGAUUAAGGGGCCAAGAAUAAUUUUAGCUUCGAUCCAGAUAACAUUGCCUAUUUCUGUAAAAGUUUUUUUCAACUUUAUUUGCCAUCGAGAAUAAUUAUUUUUGGAGUAUUUUUUGGCUUAAUUUAGAACAGCUUAUGUACACCUUUGUUCUUACAUACAUUAUGGCUUAACAUUACCAUUUUUCUCAAACUAUAAUUUUUAUUAUGUUGAUUUUUAGGUAUUAAUCAUCACUUGAAGAAUUGUAUGUUUGGGUUGGCUUUCCUUUCUGACGAGACAACGGAGACAUUUGAAUGGUUGUUUUCAACCUUUCUCGAGUCGAUGAAUGGAAAGCAACCGGAAGUUAUAUUCUCCGAUCAAUGUCAAGCUUUGAUGAAUGCUAUUGAUUCUCAAUUCAAAGGCGCGGCUCAUCGCCUAUGUCAAUGGCAUAUCAAUCAAAAUGCCCCUUCUCACUUUGGGUCUUUGAAUGGUAACAGUGAGUUCAAGAGAGCUUGGCAUCAUUGCAUGAAUUGGUGCGAGAGGAGGAAGAAUUUGAAAGCUUGUGGACAAAAAUGAUUGGAGAUUAUGGAUUGACUGAGCAUCGGUGGUUUGCAAGUAUGUACAAAUUGCGUCAGAGAUGGGCUUCUGUUUUCACUAACUCUCGUUUUUCUGCCGGAUUACAUGCUACUUCGCGAAGCGAAGUAACGAAUAGGGUUUUGAAGGAUUUGAGUAGAAGAAGUGGCUCGUUAUUUGAAUUUGUCCUCAAUUACGAACAAAUUCAAAAGGAUUGGCGGGUCAAAGAAAGAGCGGACGAUGCUUUUUGUAUUGGGAUGCCCGAUCAAUUUGUUGAGCACAAUCCACUGGUGGUGGCAGCAGCAAAAUUCUUUACACGAGCCGUUUUUGUUUCGUAUGAGUUCGAGGCCAAUCACUCAUUGAAUGUGAGCAUCGUUGAAAAUCCUACGGAGGCCGACCAACAACAGUUAUGUUUUAUUGUGAAAACGACUACAUCUGUAAAUCGGACACGAUGUGUACUAUUACAUCGUACUUCUCACGAAGCUUCAUGCACCUGCCGGUGUGGGAUACUUCUGGCAUCUUGUGUCGUCAUAUUUUUCGGAUAUAUUACCAUAUGAACGUGCAUUUAUACCGAAAAAGUAUUUGUUGCGGAGGUUGUCAAGGGAAGCAAAACACGAAUUGGGCUUGAUGUUGGGGUCGGCGUUACAGGUCCGAGUAAUGGUCAUAUUUCGUUGGCUAACUCUGCCAUGAAUAGCCAUGUGAUGCGCGGGAUGUACGAGCUGCUGAACAAUGAUAAAGUAAAUGAAGCUUGCGUCAAUUAAUUCUCCAAAAAUUCGGUGACCUACAAAAUGAAAUACAUCUGCGGUUAAGGGCUUAACCCACGAUGAUCGACAUGACGACACCCCUGUUCAAAAUCCAACGGCCGAUGCAUUCACCAUCCAUGAUCCUGUGUUCCUGUGAAGCGAAGGUUUACAAACACUCGGCUUAGCCGACACUGGAGAGGCCGAAAAAGAGAGGGAGAAAAUGUGGAACGGCAUUAGGUUUUGUAAUGAUAGAUUUACUAUAAUAAUAAGCACUUUAUAUUUCAUAUUAUUCGUCUUAAUCUGUAAAUAUUCGUUUUUGUGCAGGUACCGAACCUAUUUCUCAUGCCACCACAUCUACCAAUCACCCAACAAAUGGCCUUUUUACUUCUAAUGGGGUAAUUUUGUAUAUUUUUGAGGUUUUUAUCCUAUUAUUUUUAUUCCAUUAUUAUUUACUUCCUUUCUUUUGUUUAUUGAAGAUAAUAGAACAAUAUGAGGCUUCCUUUUUCUCCACACAGUAGCUGUCGAAGAUGGUGACUUUUUUUGCUUAUUUAGAGGCUCCAGGUACGUAAUGUAUUUCAAUAUUCUUGCAUGUGAGCAUUUGAUGGAAAUAUACUUAUAAGUAAUGAAUCAAUUUGAGGCAUUAUUUUAUUCAACCCAAUAGCUAUAUAUCUUGUGACUUUUGGGAAUCUUGCUUCUUAAAUUCAGCAGGUACUUCUUUGUGAAUUUUAUCUCGUGACUUUUGGGAAUCUUGCUUGAUGGAAAUAUACUUAUAGGUAAUGAAUCAAUUUGAGGCAUUAUUUUAUUCAACUCAAUAGCUAUAUAUCUUGUGACUUUUGGGAAUCUUGCUUCAUUUAAUAAUGACAAUGGCCUACUAUUUGCAUGUAGCAGGUAUUUUUUUGUUUGAGAGUCUUUCUUCUUAAAUUCAAGGCCACAUUAUAGUUGCUAGUUAGGUGAUUCUUGCUUCAUUUCUACCUUUUUGUUUUUUUGUGGUUAAUUUCAAUCUUAUAUGAUGAUGAUCCAGAAAGCUUUACAAGUGACUCCAUCGCAGGCGAUGCAUUGUGAAAUUGAAGAUGUUUGGUUGUGAAAUUGUACCUUUUGGAAUCUUGUUUCAAAAAUUCAAUGUUCCAUUAUCGUUUUGAUUCUUGGAUAUUCCCUUUUGUUGAGUAUAAAUAUAUAAACUCAUCAAUUACUUAGUUGUGUUCAUGUCUUUGUUUCAUUAAAAGCAAUUUUAUCCUACAAAAAAAUGCCUCCCAAUUCUCAAGACAUACUAUAUUAUAGAGAGCCUUGGACUAGAUUGGUUGAAAAAAUAGUAUUGCUACAACUGAAAAAAGCAAACGACGAGGACAGAUGGUUCCCACAAAAUGAUUAUUGGAAUAAAAUUUGUCUCGAUGAAGUGCGUGAUGAAUUAUCGGGGCGCCCUUUUUAUCUGAACUAUAUCACGCAACAUCAAUAUCGUUUAAAGUAUGCCGAAUGGAAGGUAAGGCAUUUGCAAUUUAAGAUGUUGCUCGAGCAUUUCACUGUUUGGUACGAUGAAGAAUCAAACACUGUUUAUGCCGCUGAAGCAACGUGGGAGCUCAUUCGGCGGGUAAGUUUUAUUAUAUGUAUUCACAAAUCAUUUUCCUUCCACAAAUCAAUUAAUCAUAUAUGAUAUUUUGUAAAGUAUGUUUCAGUGUUAUUUUUUUUUUUUGAUUAAAUGUAACAUUUAUUUUAUAGCGCUGUCCGGAUUUGAUGUGUUACAAUCCAGAGGGAGAGAAAAAUUGGGCCAUCUUGAAGGAAUUAUAUGAUGACCCUAAAAACAGUUUACAGAAGUGGAAAUAGAUUUUCAGACGAUCAAACUUAAUUUUUUUUUUCUUUUUGUUCAAAUUAGAAGAGGGUGGUCUCAGGUAUGGACUUUCCAAGAUGACAAUGGUGGCGUGUUGGAAUGUAUCCAUGUAUUCUCCAUGAACACAUGCCUCUCCCCCUUAACCAUGUCAGCCAAAGCCGAGAGCUGAUCCAUCUCUUCUGGAGUUAGUUUCACCGAGAGAGCUCCAAUAUUCUCAUUGAUAUUGUCGAUCUUGGUGGUGCCGGGUAUAGGGCACACGUCAUCUCCUUGGUGAUGAACCCAAGCUAAAGCCAGUUGAGACGGGGUGCAGCCUUUUCUCGUAGCCAUUUCACUGAUCUUUUCAUAUACAACCUUGUUGGUUUCAAAAUUCUCAGCCUUGAACCUUGGAAAGAGCUAGAAAAUUCGACAGACCAUUAUCAGCAUAUUUAAGUAAAAACAGCUUUUGACAUCUUCAUCGUUAAAAAGACAGAAUUGAAAAUAGAUUCUAAGACCAUCUGCAUAGGAUCAAACCCAGCCUUAUUAUGGCCUCUGUAAACUUCAAGCAGAAACUUCCUUAACUAAUUGAAGGGAACAUAUAGGGAUGGCAUUGGAUAAGAAUAAUCUGUUCUUGCAACCACAUAAAAUGUAGCUACCCUCAUCUAAUUUCAAUAAGGUCAUUGCUAUUACUUCUAGGUAUGACAAACAAGUAAUAGUUUAAUCUAGCAGUAGGAACUAGGAAAGGAGACGACUGCUAGAUAGAUAUAAGUCAAGCUAAAGGAAUUACUAUAUGCAUCGAUAAUUUUAUAUUUGUCUUUCUUAUGAAGCUAUACGAGAUAUGCACCAACCUUACGCAUGUCGCCCUCUGGCAAGUUCUGUAUCAACUUGGGACCUACUGAAAAGAAGCCACGUCCGAGCAGACUGUAUGGGACAAUUCCAAUGCCAAGUUCUCUGAGAUCACAAUACAUGCAGAAAGUUGAUUGAAUAUACUCAUCAUUUUCUCAAAUCCUAUAUUACUGACAAACUACCUCAACCUCGUACCUGCAAGUAGGAAUUAAUUCUUCUUCCAAAUCUCUUGACCACAAUGACCAUUCAUUUUGGACGGCAGUAAUUGGGUGAACAGCAUGAGCCCUUUCUUAUUGUCGAAGUAGAGGCCUUCUGAGAGCCCAACAUAUUUUUAUUUUCCCUUCUUCAACCAGUUUCUUAAGUUCUCCCAUCUUAUAGUUUCAAUUCAUGAUCAUAUAGCUUAACUAUCAAACUCAAUUCAGUCUUUCUACAAAUAUUUAUAUAAGAGUCCGACCAUGCUGCUAUUCUAAUGCAAAGAAUAUACACUCAAGUAUCUUUUGAAUUUUGAAAUCAUCAAUAUUCAUCAUAAGUUAUUGUUAAAAUUUAAACUUCAAAUGGACCACGGAUCAUUAAGUAUACAAACUUCAUAUUCCAACAGAGUUUUUCUUCAGAAGAAUACUCACUGUGACUUCAAUGGGCACACGAGUGUCGAUCCUAUGAAUGUAAUAAAGAUCAAUACAGUCAAUAUCAAGACGCUUCAAGCUCGCCUCGCAUGCAGCCCUCACAUAUUCUGGUUCACCAUGUAUACCCAUUUUCCCAUCCCUGUGUAAUAUCCCAAACUUAGAAGCAAUUUGCACGUUCUCCCUCAUCCCCCCUUUUAAAGCCUGCAACAAUUUCAACAGACUAGUUCAGGAAAAUCUUGGUGCAUUUUAUUCAAAUCUCGACUCAAUAAAUCCAAUAAGUUGUAAACACAAUGUAUGCAACGUCUCCAUGAGAACCUCCUUAACCAGAUUAUGUUCAAACAAACAACUAUGAAGAUUAUCAUAAUCAAAUUGUUAUUCGAAGCAUAAUAAUUGUUCAAUACAUAUAAUAUAAUAAGUAGCAUAUGUUUAUUCCCUUCUUUGUCCUCUGGUAAUCUAAAUUAUCUAACAAACAUAUGCCGCCGAAUGCAUAACUGCACAACUACAUCUUCACUUGAAGAUCUCUUCUCUGAAAUGUUGUAACAUUAAUACUUCGCUGAAAAUCAAUAACCUAGUUAGCAGAAGUUACAAUUAGACUAAACCUCGAUGAGUCAAUACUCGAACAUAAUAAUUUUCUAAAAGAAUAAAAUUACUACUCAAUAGAUUGAAUUCAUAACUUAAGCAGAAGGAAAUACCUUUCCAAUAAGAAUUUCGUUGGUAUGGGGACCAUAGGCAUCGGAGGUGUCGAGAAAUGUGACGCCGGAGUUGAUGGCGUGGUGGAUGAGUUGGAUCAUCUCGGGCUCGGGCUUCGGCUGGCCGUAGCUGGCGGACAUGCCCAUGCAGCCGAGGCCUUGUUUGGACACCU
rnacentral:lncRNA from 1 species